GAGGUCGGAGGACGUACGCGGCGGAGGACCCGGAGAUGCAGGCCCUGCUCAACAAGUACAUGCAGGGGGAGCCACAGCAGCCGGACAGCGUGCACGUGACCACCACGCACACGCGCUCCGUCGAGGGCGAAGGCGGCGAGCGCCACACCGAGACCGACACGUACGAAUACGGCGGUGACGCGCACCAGUAGGGGGCGCCGCCAUCGCCCGCCGUAGUCGCCGCGACUUAAAAAAGAGCGAGAGGGAGCGGCGCCGCCGUCCCGGCGGGCGCGGCGACGGAGCAACGCGCGCGGAUCCACCAUCUUUGUACACGUGGCGCCCUCUAGCCGGUCGCUCGCGGGACGGUCGUAUGUUCGCUCGCGCGGCGCUUUCCCUCGCGCGAGUUCUGUAAUUGGUUAGUUAGAGCGCCGGCCGUGGUGCCAGGCAGACCCAGGCAGCGUGAGUAUAGGUGUAUCUAGCGGACGUAGUCUAGUAGUGAGAUUAGCAAUAUUUUGAUGAGUUUUCGUUAAUCGCUUCAUCAUUAGAGAGAGAGAGAGGCGAACUCGCCACCGGUUCGCGAUCCGGCCACGGUGCGGCGCCACCGGCGCCCGCGUGGGGGCGGGUGGCGCCGCCUGGUGGGCUGAGCGUCGGACCGGCGGCGCGCGCGUCGCUGCGUACGUUAAGAUUUUAUUGCAUACCCGAGUAAUAUGUAUAGGGGGCGCUCUAGGGGACGUUACGCGCAACGGCGGAUCGGAGAAUAGCGCCAGGGGGGCGCCGCUCGAUCGCGAAUGAUGGGCGAAAAGGACGACGUUGCCACGGCAACGACUGUUCCAGGGCGAGAUGUUUUUUUUGCAUCUCGGCAAAUUUGAGAUUCGAGGAGAGAAUUCAAGGAGGUUUGCAUCGUCUGCAGGUUUUCAUAAUAAUAAUAAUAAUAAUAAUAAUAAUAACUAACGAACGCGAGAUCGUCUCUUCGUUGUGGUUUUUCGCGCGCGCGUCCGCAACUUUCUAUUUGCGUUUAGACUAGCGGGUUAUGCGUAGCAGCACUGGAUAUACUUGUGACUGAGGUAUGAGAGCUCCCCCCCCCCAGUAUAUUAAUCUAUUUUUGUCUAUAUGCGUAUUGUACGAUUAUUAAGUAUAUGAUUGAUAUGAUUGAUAGCUUGUAUCAUUGCGCGCGAUCGCCUGGGUCUGUCUGGCGGGAGGCCGAGCGCGCAUGCGUGUGUGUGUGUGUGUGUUCGCGCGAUGUCAUCAUAAAAGCUCUUUGUGAAUUUCUGUAGUUUGGAAGUGGACUGCAAAAGUUUCAUCGUGUGUUGUAUUUAAUGAUAAUUUAAUGACUAUUUUACGAAAACACUGUUCGCCGCCGCGCGUAGAGACGAGAGAGAGACGCAGCUAUUCGUGUUUUCGCUGUAACCGCGAUAGAUGGCGCUGCCGCAGCGCGCGCGGGCCCCGCGCCGUGUAUAACCAUAUGCGCGGCGGCCCCCGACACGUCAUCGCGCAUGUGUGGGACGGGCAUGGUAGAGGUAGAGGCAAGCUUUUGCAUAAUUCAAGCCGCUAGAGGGGGCGAGGGCGUGGCGUUGGCGCCCCCCCCACACCUCCGCUCAGCUCUGUCACAGAUGUUUUCUACUUCGUCGAUUCGAGUCAAGUGCGAGAAAAAACCUCCGAUCUCCCCCGCCAGAUGGCGCCUGCGGCCGCCUCCAAAUCACAGGGCUCGCAAAACCCUGCGACUCAUUUCAAUGACGGAGGACCGUUGGCGCCACCUGGCGGCCGCGCCGAGGAUGCGGUGGCUGGGAGUGUCGGCAACGUGGCUUCAUCAGGACAGAAGCUGCGGAAGAUGCUCCGUAAGCGGUCGAUUAGCUUGUAAUUAACCGUAUAUUAAUUAGCUUAAUUACCACGCUUAAUUAGCAGCGGCUGAAUCGUCGUCCCCGCCAAUAUUAAUCAUUCGUCUGCUGCUGCGGUUGUGUUGUCACCAUCUCUAGUGAGGGGAUGCUAUGGGAAACUUCGUGUCACAAUAAAGCUUUCAUGUGUAACAGUC